rnacentral:rRNA from 1 species
CCUACGGGAGGCAGCAGUGAGGAAUAUUGGUCAAUGGGCGAGAGCCUGAACCAGCCAAGUCGCGUGAGGGAGUACUGCCCUAUGGGUUGUAAACCUCUUUUGUCGGGGAGCAAAAGCCGGACGUGUCCGGCUGUGAGAGUACCCGAAGAAAAAGCAUCGGCUAACUCCGUGCCAGCAGCCGCGGUAAUACGGAGGAUGCGAGCGUUAUCCGGAUUUAUUGGGUUUAAAGGGUGCGCAGGCGGAUUUUUAAGUCAGCGGUAAAAUCGUGGGGCUCAACCCCAUCCAGCCGUUGAAACUGGGGAUCUAGAGUGUGCGAGAGGGAUGCGGAAUGCGUGGUGUAGCGGUGACAGGCAUAGAUAUCACGCAGAACCCCGAUUGCGAAGGCAGCAUACCGGUGCACAACUGACGCUCAGGCACGAAAGCGUGGGUAUCGAACAGGAUUAGAUACCCCAGUAGUG